AACGGACUCUUCGGAGUCAGUGGCGGACGGGUGAGUAACGCGUGAGAACCUGCCUCUAGGAGGGGGAUAACAGCGGGAAACGGCUGCUAAUACCCCAUGAGCCGUAAGGUAAAAAGGAAUCCGCCUAGAGAGGGGCUCGCGUCCGAUUAGCUAGUUGGGGAGGUAAAAGCUCACCAAGGCGACGAUCGGUAGCUGGUCUGAGAGGAUGAGCAGCCACACUGGGACUGAGACACGGCCCAGACUCCUACGGGAGGCAGCAGUGGGGAAUUUUCCGCAAUGGGCGAAAGCCUGACGGAGCAACGCCGCGUGAGGGAAGAAGGCCUUUGGGUUGUAAACCUCUUUUCUCAGGGAAGAAGUUCUGACGGUACCUGAGGAAUCAGCCUCGGCUAACUCCGUGCCAGCAGCCGCGGUAAUACGGAGGAGGCAAGCGUUAUCCGGAAUUAUUGGGCGUAAAGCGUUCGUAGGCGGCCGUUCAAGUCUGCUGUCAAAAGUCCGAGGCUCAACUUCGGGAAGGCAGUGGAAACUGAACAGCUAGAGGUCGGAAGGGGCAGAGGGAAUUCCCAGUGUAGCGGUGAAAUGCGUAGAUAUUGGGAAGAACACCGGUGGCGAAAGCGCUCUGCUGGGCCGAACCUGACGCUGAGGGACGAAAGCUAGGGGAGCGAAUGGGAUUAGAUACCCCAGUAGUCCUAGCCGUAAACGAUGGAGACUAGGUGUUGCCUGUAUCGACCCGGGCAGUGCCGAAGCCAACGCGUUAAGUCUCCCGCCUGGGGAGUACGCACGCAAGUGUGAAACUCAAAGGAAUUGACGGGGGCCCGCACAAGCGGUGGAGUAUGUGGUUUAAUUCGAUGCAACGCGAAGAACCUUACCAGGGCUUGACAUCCCGCGAAUCCCGGCGAAAGUUGGGAGUGCCUACGGGAGCGCGGAGACAGGUGGUGCAUGGCUGUCGUCAGCUCGUGUCGUGAGAUGUUGGGUUAAGUCCCGCAACGAGCGCAACCCUCGUCCUUAGUUGCCAGCCUUAAGUGGGGCACUCUAGGGAGACUGCCGGUGAUAAACCGGAGGAAGGUGGGGAUGACGUCAAGUCAUCAUGCCCCAUAUGUCCUGGGCGACACACGUACUACAAUGGUCGGGACAGCGAGCAGCCAACUCGCGAGAGUGAGCUAAUCUCUCAAACCCGGCCUCAGUUCAGAUUGCAGGCUGCAACUCGCCUGCAUGAAGGAGGAAUCGCUAGUAAUCGCAGGUCAGCAUACUGCGGUGAAUCCGUUCCCGGGCCUUGUACACACCGCCCGUCACACCAUGGAAGUCGGCCAUGCCCGAAGUCAUUACUCUAACCGUUCGCGGAGGAGGGUGCCGAAGGCAGGGCUGAUGACUGGGGUGAAGUCGUAACAAGGUAGCCGUA
rnacentral:rRNA from 1 species